AUUGAACGCUGGCGGCAGGCCUAACACAUGCAAGUCGAGCGCGCGGCGGGCGCGUGUGAGAAGUCUGUGAAACUGCCUGAUGGAGGGGGGGAACUACACUAAAAGGUAUCUCAUACCCCGUACCCUCACAUAUGCCCCCAGGGGAUUAGCUAGUAGGUGGGGUAACGGCUCACCUAGGCGACGCUCCCUAGCUGGUCUGAGAGGAUGACCAGCCACACUGGAACUGAGACACGGUCCAGACUCCUACGGGAGGCAGCAGGGGGGAAUAUUGCACAAUGGGCGCAAGCCUGAUGCAGCCAUGCCGCGUGUGUGAAGAAGGCCUUCGGGUUGUAAAGCACUUUCAGCGAGGAGGCGUUACUCGCAGAAGAAGCACCGGCUAACUCCGUGCCAGCAGCCGCGGUAAUAC
rnacentral:rRNA from 1 species